rnacentral:rRNA from 1 species
GCACAAGCGGUGGAGCAUGUGGUUUAAUUCGACGCAACGCGAAGAACCUUACCUGGGCUCGAAAUGUAGUGGAAUCCGGUAGAAAUAUCGGCGUCUAGCAAUAGACCGCUAUAUAGGUGCUGCAUGGCUGUCGUCAGCUCGUGUCGUGAGAUGUUGGGUUAAGUCCCGCAACGAGCGCAACCCUUACCUCUAGUUGCUACCAUUUAGUUGAGCACUCUAGCGGAACCGCCUCGGAUAACGGGGAGGAAGGUGGGGAUGACGUCAAGUCCUCAUGGCCUUUAUGUCCAGGGCUACACACGUGCUACAAUGGCCGGUACAAACCGCUGCAAACCCGCGAGGGGGAGCUAAUCGGAAAAAGCCGGCCUCAGUUCGGAUUGGAGUCUGCAACUCGACUCCAUGAAGCUGGAAUCGCUAGUAAUCGUGGAUCAGCAUGCCACGGUGAAUACGUUCCCGGGC